ensembl:lncRNA
CUACUGAGAAAAGAAAAAGAAAACAAACCAUAACAGCAAACCAGUUAGGAAAAGAUGGAUUGUUUAAUAACUGGUAUUUGGACAAAUGGGUAACCUUCUGGAAAGUAAUGGAGAAUAAAUCAAAGAUCAGAACAAGCGGGAGAGCACCAGCCAAAAAACAUCUCCACUGAGGCAGAGACUAAAACAAAUACAUUUCAACAAAAAUCUUUCCCUAGGGUGUCCAAAUUUCCUCCCCUUUUAAAGAGAUUAGAAAUUUGUUUGAAUUCAGUGAGAUGAAUGUAAACAUGUUCAAGACAAAGUCAAAACUUUGUAUGCAUGUUGAAUGCUCUUACUGUGAAGCCAGUAGCAGUUGAUGGAAAAUGACUUUGAAGGCUAAUGGGAUUUGAAUGCAAGACUUCCACAGGACUGGAGAAAACAUUGAGGCACAAGCAAAAUCUGACAUGCAUGAGGACCCAGGGGAAAGAAGCAGAGACCCCACUGGAGACUGAACCAGAUUUACCUGCUAGUGUUGGAGCAUCUCCUGUGGAGGAGUGGCUUCUCUGGACAGGAGGUCCCUUUCUGCUAUACCCCACUCUGACAGAGAUUCAAGAUGACUUUCACCUCUACCUCAGCAGAUGCAUCAUGAACAGAAAAUACUGGAGCCUCCACCAUGUAGAAGAAUUUAACUACAUGUUGACCAAAUUGUAGUCAUGACAUAAGCUGCUAUAAUUCUAAGAAGUGGCCUCAAGGAAAUGGGAACAAACUGACCCUAGAAUGGUAGAUUAAUUACACUUGACACAAUCAAGAUGAUGCUGGGCAACUCAGCACAUGACCCCCGUGGACCAGUGUCCUGAAGCCAGGUCCAUCAACCCUCCUGGAAAGAUGCCCUCUCUAUCUGCAAUCAGAGCAUUUACCUCCUUCAGAGAGGCAGCCUGCUGUCAGAGAACUAUUGUGUUUCCAAGACUAAAGACUGGCAGUGGGCAGGCACCCUCAACCCAGGCUCAACCCAGGCUUCUGGUUAUCACAGCUGCUCAGGAUGCCUUCUGGGGCACACGCCUUGGGAGGGAAGGUGAUUAUCCAUAAGAAGCAAAUGCGAGAUGGAAGAUGGAGAAAGAGUGGGGAAGGCAGCAAAGAAGUCCACCCCUUCGAGGCUCCUCUCCCCACUGUUUAAUGGAAAAAGCAGACGGGAGCUGGGGAAUAUUUUUCUUUUGCUUUGUUGGCUUCAGAAAGCUAAAAAAGAAUCUGCCACCUGUGAUUCUAGCCCAGCUUGCAAAACAUUUUGUUAUUUCAGCUCUGAGUCUGUAGUUAGCAGAUUGUCAGUUUGGCCUCACAGCAAUGCAGCAGCCAAAAAAAGAUUAGACAUUUUAAUUUCCUGAGCAGGUGCGAGUGUCAGGAUUGGUUUUAGAAUCCCAGUGAAAAAUGAAAUGGAAAUGGAGAAGGAAACCGAGACUGGUGCUGUGUGCUUGUGUGUGGUGGAGUGGGGUGGAGUGUGUGGAUGACGGGGAGAUGAAGCAAAACCAAGGAUAAUCUAAGCAUGUGAGAGCAGAAACACAAGAAAUGGCAGAGGGAGGCAGCAGAAGGGGUCAGAGGUUACUGCAGAGAAGUUACUAGAAAUUUCAGGUUCAAAAGGAAAAGGCUAUUUUCCUGAUUUGCCCCCCUGCUCAGCACAGUCUCAUGCAGGAUCAAGGCCAUCUUCAACCCACAGAGUGCCUUUGCGAAAGUGGGAAGCGGUGCUUCUUCCCAGCAGAUGUGGCCACUGCUCUGACUGCCUGUCUUGGUAAACUGAGUGUGGGCUGCAUUUCAUCCCC